rnacentral:rRNA from 1 species
AGAGUUUGAUCCUGGCUCAGGACGAACGCUGGCGGCGUGCCUAACACAUGCAAGUCGAGCGGAGACAGUGAGUAGCUUGCUACGAACUGUUUUAGCGGCGGACGGGUGAGUAACGCGUGAGCAACCUUUCCCAGACAGGGGAAUAACACACCGAAAGGUGUACUAAUACCGCAUAAGACCACGGGAUCACAUGGUUCUGAGGUAAAAGAAUUAUCGGUUUGGGGUGGGCUCGCGUCCGAUUAGGUAGUUGGUGAGGUAACGGCCCACCAAGCCGACGAUCGGUAGCCGACCUGAGAGGGUGAUCGGCCACAUUGGGACUGAGACACGGCCCAAACUCCUACGGGAGGCAGCAGUGGGGAAUAUUGGGCAAUGGAGGAAACUCUGACCCAGCAACGCCGCGUGGAGGAAGAAGGUUUUCGGAUCGUAAACUCCUGUCCUUGGAGACGAGUAGAAGACGGUAUCCAAGGAGGAAGCCCCGGCUAACUACGUGCCAGCAGCCGCGGUAAUACGUAGGGGGCAAGCGUUGUCCGGAAUAAUUGGGCGUAAAGGGCGCGUAGGCGGCUCGGUAAGUCUGGAGUGAAAGUCCUGCUUUUAAGGUGGGAAUUGCUUUGGAUACUGUCGGGCUUGAGUGCAGGAGAGGUUAGUGGAAUUCCCAGUGUAGCGGUGAAAUGCGUAGAGAUUGGGAGGAACACCAGUGGCGAAGGCGACUAACUGGACUGUAACUGACGCUGAGGCGCGAAAGUGUGGGGAGCAAACAGGAUUAGAUACCCUGGUAGUCCACACUGUAAACGAUGAAUGCUAGGUGUAGGGGGUAUCGACCCCUUCUGUGCCGCAGUCAACACAAUAAGCAUUCCGCCUGGGGAGUACGGCCGCAAGGUUGAAACUCAAAGGAAUUGACGGGGGCCCGCACAAGCAGCGGAGCAUGUGGUUUAAUUCGACGCAACGCGAAGAACCUUACCAGGUCUUGACAUCCACUUAAACUUACAGAGAUGUAAGGUGUGCUUGCACAAAGUGAGACAGGUGGUGCAUGGUUGUCGUCAGCUCGUGUCGUGAGAUGUUGGGUUAAGUCCCGCAACGAGCGCAACCCUUAUCUUCAGUUACUAACGCGUAAAGGUGAGGACUCUGAAGAGACUGCCGGGGACAACUCGGAGGAAGGUGGGGACGACGUCAAAUCAUCAUGCCCCUUAUGACCUGGGCUACACACAUACUACAAUGACGUUUAACAAAGAGAAGCAAGACCGCGAGGUGGAGCAAAACUCAAAAACAACGUCUCAGUUCAGAUUGCAGGCUGCAACUCGCCUGCAUGAAGUCGGAAUUGCUAGUAAUCGCGGAUCAGCAUGCCGCGGUGAAUACGUUCCCGGGCCUUGUACACACCGCCCGUCACACCAUGAGAGCCGGGGGGACCCGAAGUCGGUAGUCUAACCGCAAGGAGGACGCCGCCGAAGGUAAAACUGGUGAUUGGGGUGAAGUCGUAACAAGGUA